UGUACUAUAAUCAAACAAUAUUGUGGCAAGGUCAAGGUAAAAUAAUGCAAAUCGUUGGGCAAUUUUUACAGCAUUCUUUCUUCUCUAAUUCCUCUUCUCUGUUCUUACAUUGCAGGUUCCAAAAUUUUCAGCAGGGGAGAUCAAGUACAAAGCAUGAAGCAGACAUGAUGUGUAGUAUGAACCAGGUCAAGUAAAUAAUUACAUAUGUAGUAAGAGCAAGUACAUUUAUUGCAUUUUUUGCCUAAAUGUGUACUUCAUUAGAUAAUAACAUUGUUCUAGAUUAGGCAAAUUAUGCAUUUAUUUUAGGAAAUAAUAUGGUUUUUGAAUGAUCAUGAGUAGGUCAUAUAGAGACUAGCACUGUUUUAUUACCAGAGGUAUUCAACCUUGCUGAUAUUUACUCAUAAUAUUAACUGCUUUUGUUAUUCUUUCACUAAUUUAUGUUUCCUUUUCACAUUUUAUUGACACAAAACAGUGUUUAGGACCUGAAACUUGAUGUGUUUUUUUUCUGCCUGCAAGUUUCCUCGGCGAAUUUGCACUAUAACAUGCUUGUCAGCUAGCUUGGUGUUUAGUGGCUUGGAAGUUAGUCAGAUUGUCAUCGGCAGCAGUUUAGUUGCAACUCAAUCUUGAUAUUAAUUCAUGAGCAGCUUGGUAGUAGUUGUAGUAGCUCUAAUUUUUUGUUUGGUCAGUUCAAUAGUGGAGGCGAUCAGGCAAUCAGAUGUAUGCUUGUAGUUUUAAAACUUUGUUAUUGUUUAUAAUUUAGAUGGGUAAAAAUGCAUUUAUAUAUGUUCUAAUUUGCUUACUGAUUUUCAAA